GGAACUGAAACAUCUAAGUACCCCGAGGAAAAGAAAUCAACCGAGAUUCCCCCAGUAGCGGCGAGCGAACGGGGAGGAGCCCAGAGCCUGAAUCAGCAUGUGUGUUAGUGGAAGCGUCUGGAAAGGCGCGCGAUACAGGGUGACAGCCCCGUACACAAAAGCGCAUGUGCUGUGAGCUCGAUGAGUAGGGCGGGACACGUGGUAUCCUGUCUGAAUAUGGGGGGACCAUCCUCCAAGGCUAAAUACUCCUGACUGACCGAUAGUGAACCAGUACCGUGAGGGAAAGGCGAAAAGAACCCCGGCGAGGGGAGUGAAAAAGAACCUGAAACCGUGUACGUACAAGCAGUGGGAGCACAGGUUUACCUGUGUGACUGCGUACCUUUUGUAUAAUGGGUCAGCGACUUAUAUUCUGUAGCAAGGUUAACCGAAUAGGGGAGCCGGAGGGAAACCGAGUCUUAAUUGGGCGUUAAGUUGCAGGGUAUAGACCCGAAACCCGGUGAUCUAGCCAUGGGCAGGUUGAAGGUUGGGUAACACUAACUGGAGGACCGAACCGACUAAUGUUGAAAAAUUAGCGGAUGACCUGUGGCUGGGGGUGAAAGGCCAAUCAAACCGGGAGAUAGCUGGUUCUCCCCGAAAGCUAUUUAGGUAGCGCCUCGUGAAUUCAUCUCCGGGGGUAGAGCACUGUUUCGGCUAGGGGGCCAUCCCGGCUUACCAACCCGAUGCAAACUGCGAAUACCGGAGAAUGUUAUCACGGGAGACACACGGCGGGUGCUAACGUCCGUCGUGAAGAGGGAAACAACCCAGACCGCCAGCUAAGGUCCCAAAGUCAUGGUUAAGUGGGAAACGAUGUGGGAAGGCCCAGACAGCCAGGAUGUUGGCUUAGAAGCAGCCAUCAUUUAAAGAAAGCGUAAUAGCUCACUGGUCGAGUCGGCCUGCGCGGAAGAUGUAACGGGGCUAAACCAU
rnacentral:rRNA from 1 species